ACGGGAGGCAGCAGUGGGGAAUAUUGGGCAAUGGGCGAAAGCCUGACCCAGCAACGCCGCGUGAAGGAAGAAGGUCUUCGGAUUGUAAACUUCUUUUAUGAGGGACGAAGGACGUGACGGUACCUCAUGAAUAAGCCACGGCUAACUACGUGCCAGCAGCCGCGGUAAUACGUAGGUGGCAAGCGUUAUCCGGAUUUACUGGGUGUAAAGGGCGUGUAGGCGGGGCUGCAAGUCAGAAGUGAAAUCCAUGGGCUUAACCCAUGAACUGCUUUUGAAACUGUAGCUCUUGAGUAUCGGAGAGGCAGGCGGAAUUCCCAGUGUAGCGGUGAAAUGCGUAGAUAUUGGGAGGAACACCAGUGGCGAAGGCGGCCUGCUGGACGACAACUGACGCUGAGGCGCGAAAGCGUGGGGAGCAAACAGGAUUAGAUACCCUGGUA
rnacentral:rRNA from 1 species